rnacentral:misc_RNA from 1 species
GCGUGAGUUGGUGUCGUGGUAAUGUCACAAAAACGUCGCAGAUGAUAACACACGCAAAAUAUGUACGUGUGAGGACAUGGCACGUGUAAGAUAAAAAAACUUUGAAAUAAACGACAUUUAUGAUUUUUCUCACAACUAGCUCAUAUGGCUGAAGCUAACAAUCGCUUUUCUUCCAGCCCUCAAGUGAUGCUGAGAUCACCAGAACUACUUGUAUCGGCGCUUAUUUAUUGGCCUUUGAACUGUUUUCUUUUGUUUCUUUCAGUUUGGACCACCACAACUCGUUUAUCAAAAUGAAAAAUCAGUUCAAAGAAAGGAAUUUUAGUUAUUGUUACGGACCAAAUAAAUCAGGAUGAUGCCAAAUCUAAAUUUACAAUGGAAUUUCAAAAGGCCUUUUUUUUUUUUUUUAAA